UCUCCGAACAAUGUUAUUUUUCUUUUAUUAUAAAUCAUCUUCUUGUUAGAUCAUUUUCCCAACUUUAUUCUUCUCCAUUAAAAAUUGGUUUUUGGGUCGGCUCGGUUGGUGGCUGGGUGGCCGAAAUAAAAAGGACCGAUUUACGAACACAGACGGAAAAGAUGGGUUAAAGUAAAAGCUUCUCAACUGUCAUUUUGUCAAAUUCAAAUCAAAGCUAGCCAAAAUACCAGUGCAGAAGCACAACAGAUAGUUUCCACAGCUACAAUGGCAGCUGCUGCCAUAGCACUAACGUUUUUGCAAGUACUUCACUCUCCGUCUCCAAUUAUCACCAGUCCUUCCUUUUUCCUGAGCAAACUCACUCCUCCCCGACAUUUGCACUCACGCGACUCCACGCGCUCUUUUCGUCAUUCCCUCCACAGUUUAUCCACAAUGACAACUCACUAUUCCCGCUCCAACUCAAUCAGGACGGCGUCUCACACUUCUUCGACGGUAGUCGGCGAUAUUCUCGACUACUUAAACGAGUCUUGGACGCCGUUUCACGCUACUGCUGCAGCGAAACAGUUACUACUGAUUGAUGCUGGUUUUACUAAUUGAGGAUGAGGAGUGGGAGCUUAAGCCUGGUGGACGAUAUUUGCUGUGGGAGAAAACACAGCACUGUGAACAAGUAUGGAUUCAAGCCAAAUCUGGAGACUCACCUCAUUUCACUACUUGCAAUGAUGUCGGAUGAAGCAUCACCAGAUCCAAAAGAGAAAAGUAGUUUGUCAUCUUCUAAAGCUGCCCAUCAUCCCUUACUUAUUCUGGUGUGUAUUAUCAUAUCUCUACUCUCAGUUGGGAAGUACAGGUUAGUGUAGAAAGCUAACUGGUAAUGGUAUGACAACUCUUCUUUCAGGACAGGAAAUUUAGCUUGCCGUAUCUUUGGUGCUUUUUUUCCUGCACCAAUAAUGGCAAUGAAAGGUCUUUGAUGGAAAUAAUGGAUUGUUGGAACCAUUCGUUUUGUAAAAAUUCCAAAUUUUUUUAUUUAUAUAAUAUGAAAUAUAUAGACAUCAAUUAGCUUCUGCAACAAAGUGAAAAUUAAUCUAUUUGAUGUACACAUGCACUCGCUUGUCUUUAUUUGAUCAUAAAAAAUAUGUGUACUUAGCUAAUCUAUUUCAAGAUGGUUGGUCUUGUUCUGUGCCAAGCUGCAACAUGCACUGCUAUGAUGCUGAUAUACUGGUGCUGUGGAUUUUCUGAGCUUAUUGCAAUCUUUUUUCAAUGUAAUUAUUAGCUUGCCACUUGAUUGAGACAAUGGUGUGACUAAUGUGGAAUUCCAUGUGAUAGGUGGAAGUGUUGAAGAAGCUGUAUUUAAAUUUGUUUCUGAUAUUAAUUUUGUAGCUUUUGUUUGAACAACUCAGUUGUGAAAUUAAUGACUAGUGAGCCUUGAGCUAUAUAUUUCUGAUACCCAACCUAGCUGCCUUGGAGGUGCAAACAGUGAGUUUAUAUAUUCUGGAAGAUUAUAUAAUCUUGCUUCAAGUUAUUGUGUUUUGAGGGUUCUUAUUGACUCAUGUGGAUCACCAAGUGACUUAUCAAGUGAACACACUAUUCAGAUGGUUGCUUUAUUUGACAAUGAAGUGGUGGGUUCAGAUUCAUAUCGAGGAGCUGGUGCACCAACCUUGUUUCAGGCUAUAAGACGCAUUGUUGGUUACUUAGCACAUGAGUACACCGGUUUUAAACCUGAAUUGGAACAGAUCCCAAUACAUGCUUCCGCUGGUUUGCAAGUGACCUAGCUCUGGUGCCAUUUUUGAGUCAUCCCAUGACAUUUUCAUGUUCAACUCGUUGGUCUCAUGUUUUUUAUGAAAGAUUUCAGCAUGUAUCUAAUGCAUUGCUAAAACAAUUUAUGAAGCAGCGUGUCUGGACAGACUAUAAACAAUACAGUCUGAAAUCUGUGUAUGGCAAUUUGAGAUUCUUAAGGUGACAGAAAGUCAAAAUAAAAUUAUGUAAUAUUUUCAUGAGUCAUGACCAAUGUUUUAGUUUGUCAACUAGGUUAUAGAACCAAGGUUAUGGUUUAUCAAGUUGGGUCCAGUUAGGUUCCUGUGCUAUGAAGCCAGCUGAGAUUGAUAGUACUUCCUGUUAUUGAUGAUAUACAAGUGCCGUAAAUUUGUUUAAAGAGUUGCGUUAUUUUGCAAAUUAACCUGUCCCUUUUCAAGGAAACUUUUAUGGCAUUAUUGGACAGUAGUGGAAUGUAAUAUUAUGCAACUGAGAAAAUUUUUCAGCAUUGAAAUUUCAGGUUUUCUAAUUUUUGUUUUGAAUUCUGUUUAGAAUAUGUGGUAAGAAAUGAUUUGGGAUGUGGAUCCACCAUAGGGCCCAUUUUCGCUUCUGGGGUUGGCAUUUGAACUGUUGGUUGUGGCAUACCUCAGCUUUCCAUGCACAGUUCCUUGAUUUGCAGUGUGAGAGAUGUAUGGGGAAGGAAGAUGUGGACAUUGCUUACAAACAUUUCAAGGCAUUUUACGUAACUUUCUCUGGCAUAGAUAAGAAGCUAAUCAUCGAUUACUAAUGGACACGGAAUGUGAACGUGAACUGUUGUUGACGACAAAUCGUGUCAAAUUUCAACACUUUGUUUGGACAAUAUUGGCUUUAGGAAGAUCGAAACAGAUGUAGCAAAACAAUCAUAUCUAUAUAUGAUCAAGGUUUGUUGGUGUUAACAGAAUUCUCAGAUGAACUCGAGCCAUGGUUCCGCUCACCAUCAGGGUUGGAUUGUGGGUACACUUUUGCCAUUUUCUUCUUCAGCUCAGACAACAAAGCCUGGUUCUCCUGGUUGAGCUGAUAUGGAUGGGAAGCAUACCCGUAACCUUGAAAUCUUGUUUUCCUGAGAGAAGGGGAAUCAAUUAGGAAAACAGAAGCAAAUGAGUUGUGAAAAACUGAAAGCAAAAUAGUGUCAAUAAAAACAGGUGCAAAGCCAUCUUGUCUGCCUUUUUCAAGUUGGAUAGGAUGAUUAUGAAAAACUUUAACCGUCUGAAAAUAGAGAGAAGAAGGGAUAGGACAGGAUUAGAAAUGCAAAAAAAGCACAAGGUCUGGUUAAGUUGUUAGAGCAAUGCACGAAAAAAGUAGUGUAGAAAGCAAGUUUAUUAAGAAACUAAAAGAGAGAUGCUCAGG